rnacentral:rRNA from 1 species
UAAAACGAUUCAGAAGCUUACGAUUGACGGAGCGAAGCGACGUCAAAGCGUAUACAAAGUCGAGUCGGUUUAAGGAUACGUUCGUUGGGUAGGGGAGCGUUCUGUAAGCCUGCGAAGGUGGCCUGUGAGGGUUGCUGGAGGUAUCAGAAGUGCGAAUGCUGACAUAAGUAACGAUAAAGCGGGUGAAAAGCCCGCUCGCCGGAAGACCAAGGGUUCCUGUCCAACGUUAAUCGGGGCAGGGUGAGUCGACCCCUAAGGCGAGGCCGAAAGGCGUAGUCGAUGGGAAACGGGUUAAUAUUCCCGUACUUGGUGUUACUGCGAAGGGGGGACGGAGAAGGCUAUGUUGGCCGGGCGACGGUUGUCCCGGUUUAAGCGUGUAGGCUGACUUUCCAGGCAAAUCCGGAGAGUCAAGGCUGAGGCGUGACGACGAGGCACCACGGUGCUGAAGCAACAAAUGCCCUGCUUCCAGGAAAAGCCUCUAAGCAUCAGGUAACAUCAAAUCGUACCCCAAACCGACACAGGUGGUCAGGUAGAGAAUACCAAGGCGCUUGAGAGAACUCGGGUGAAGGAACUAGGCAAAAUGGUGCCGUAACUUCGGGAGAAGGCACGCUGACACGUAGGUGAAGUGGUUUACCCAUGGAGCUGAAGUCAGUCGAAGAUACCAGCUGGCUGCAACUGUUUAUUAAAAACACAGCACUGUGCAAACACGAAAGUGGACGUAUACGGUGUGACGCCUGCCCGGUGCCGGAAGGUUAAUUGAUGGGGUCAGCGCAAGCGAAGCUCCUGAUCGAAGCCCCGGUAAACGGCGGCCGUAACUAUAACGGUCCUAAGGUAGCGAAAUUCCUUGUCGGGUAAGUUCCGACCUGCACGAAUGGCGUAAUGAUGGCCAGGCUGUCUCCACCCGAGACUCAGUGAAAUUGAACUCGCUGUGAAGAUGCAGUGUACCCGCGGCAAGACGGAAAGACCCCGUGAACCUUUACUAUAGCUUGACACUGAACAUUGAGCCUUGAUGUGUAGGAUAGGUGGGAGGCUUUGAAGCGUGGACGCCAGUCUGCGUGGAGCCGGCCUUGAAAUACCACCCUUUAAUGUUUGAUGUUCUAACGUGGACCCGUGAUCCGGGUUGCGGACAGUGUCUGGUGGGUAGUUUGACUGGGGCGGUCUCCUCCUAAAGAGUAACGGAGGAGCACGAAGGUUGGCUAAUCCUGGUCGGACAUCAGGAGGUUAGUGCAAUGGCAUAAGCCAGCUUGACUGCGAGCGUGACGGCGCGAGCAGGUGCGAAAGCAGGUCAUAGUGAUCCGGUGGUUCUGAAUGGAAGGGCCAUCGCUCAACGGAUAAAAGGUACUCCGGGGAUAACAGGCUGAUACCGCCCAAGAGUUCAUAUCGACGGCGGUGUUUGGCACCUCGAUGUCGGCUCAUCACAUCCUGGGGCUGAAGUAGGUCCCAAGGGUAUGGCUGUUCGCCAUUUAAAGUGGUACGCGAGCUGGGUUUAGAACGUCGUGAGACAGUUCGGUCCCUAUCUGCCGUGGGCGCUGGAGAACUGAGGGGGGCUGCUCCUAGUACGAGAGGACCGG